CAAUAGCGUAUAUUUAAGUUGCUGCAGUUAAAAAGCUCGUAGUUGGAUUUCGGGUGGGAAUGGCCGGUCCGCCGUUUCGGUGUGCACUUGCUACGCCCACCUUGCUGCCGGGGACGUGCUCUUGAGUUCACGCUCGGGACACGGAGUCGGCGAGGUUACUUUGAGUAAAUUAGAGUGUUCAAAGCAGGCCUACGCUCUGAAUACAUUAGCAUGGAAUAACACGAUAGGACUCUGGCCUAUCUUGUUGGUCUGUAGGGCCGGAGUAAUGAUUAAGAGGGACAGUCGGGGGCAUUCGUAUUUCAUUGUCAGAGGUGAAAUUCUUGGAUUUAUGAAAGACGAACUACUGCGAAAGCAUUUGCCAAGGAUGUUUUCAUUAA
rnacentral:rRNA from 1 species